UUCAGACAGCCCUGGAGGAGAUGCAUAAUGAAGUGGAAGGGCGCAGAGUACCUGUCAUUCCUAAGUUGGUGGUGAGCAAAAGGUAAAAAUAGCGCGCAGUGGUGACAAGCGCUUCUGGUCAGCUGAGCUGCUUUUGAAGCCAGAGCUGAGGGUCACACUUUUGCUCUCUGUCGUCUCAUCGAAAGGGAUAAUCACGAAGAGAGGAGAAAUGGACAGUGUAAAAGAGUGGUGUGGCUGGCGUACAGAUGAUCAAACUGAGCAUGUGAUUAACAUGCUUCCUAAUGCUCACACCAAGUCCAGUGAAGAGAAGAAGUGAUCCAAGAAACCGGCCCAAUUCAAACCUUGCACCACUGUCCCUUAAGGACAUAUUUGAUUUUGUUACACUUUUGAAAUGCAAAACAAGACCACCCCUUUCCCUGCUUUACAAUUGCAAAAAGCUAAAGAUGCAAGUCUAUAAAACCAGUAAGCGUGCUGCUGCUGAGGGCUGUGAACUGUUUUAUAAAACAUAAAAGAAAGACGGAGGAAAGUGUGCUCUCAGAUGGAUUAUUCGGUGAAUGGAAAAGCUGGCGGCGAUAAGCAAUCAGUGAGCGACCUUUGUAUUAAUGCUGUUCACCAGCAGUGUGGUGGCAGCAAUAGACCCCAGCUUUAUGAGCCUAGACCUAUGUUUAAGAGUGUAUCAACCAUCUUAGAUUUCCCUGACAAUGCAACCACUUGGCGUUGCCAGGGCUGUUUUCUGUCCCCCCUCCCCCCGUUUCACAGGUAUGUACUGCUCUAUUACUAUAGUUGUGAUUUUUAUUUCCAUAAAUAACUCACAAUUUGAAGCAUCGUUUUAUAUUCUUGGUUGAUUUGCUCUUU